rnacentral:rRNA from 1 species
UUAAGCGACUAAGCGUACACGGUGGAUGCCUAGGCAGUCAGAGGCGAUGAAGGGCGUGCUAAUCUGCGAUAAGCGUCGGUAAGCUGAUAUGAAGCGUUACAACCGACGAUACCCGAAUGGGGAAACCCAGUGCAAUUCGUUGCACUAUUGCAUGGUGAAUACAUAGCCAUGCAAGGCGAACCGGGGGAACUGAAACAUCUAAGUACCCCGAGGAAAAGAAAUCAACCGAGAUUCCCCUAGUAGCGGCGAGCGAACGGGGAAGAGCCCAGAGUCUGAAUCAGUUUGUGUGUUAGUGGAAGCGUCUGGAAAGUCGCAGGGUACAGGGUGAUACUCCCGUACACAAAAACACACUUGCUGUGAACUCGAUGAGUAGGGCGGGACACGUGACAUCCUGUCUGAAUAUGGGGGGACCAUCCUCCAAGGCUAAAUACUCCUGACUGACCGAUAGUGAACCAGUACCGUGAGGGAAAGGCGAAAAGAACCCCGGCGAGGGGAGUGAAAUAGAACCUGAAACCGUGUACGUACAAGCAGUGGGAGCCUUGAUUUAUCAGGGUGACUGCGUACCUUUUGUAUAAUGGGUCAGCGACUUAUAUUUUGUAGCAAGGUUAACCGAAUAGGGGAGCCGUAGGGAAACCGAGUCUUAACUGGGCGUCUAGUUGCAAGGUAUAGACCCGAAACCCGGUGAUCUAGCCAUGGGCAGGUUGAAGGUUGGGUAACACUAACUGGAGGACCGAACCGACUAAUGUUGAAAAAUUAGCGGAUGACUUGUGGCUGGGGGUGAAAGGCCAAUCAAACCGGGAGAUAGCUGGUUCUCCCCGAAAGCUAUUUAGGUAGCGCCUCGUGAACUCAUCUUCGGGGGUAGAGCACUGUUUCGGCUAGGGGGUCAUCCCGACUUACCAAACCGAUGCAAACUCCGAAUACCGAAGAAUGUUAUCACGGGAGACACACGGCGGGUGCUAACGUCCGUCGUGAAGAGGGAAACAACCCAGACCGCCAGCUAAGGUCCCAAAGUCAUGGUUAAGUGGGAAACGAUGUGGGAAGGCAUAGACAGCCAGGAUGUUGGCUUAGAAGCAGCCAUCAUUUAAAGAAAGCGUAAUAGCUCACUGGUCGAGUCGGCCUGCGCGGAAGAUGUAACGGGGCUAAACCAUGCACCGAAGCUGCGGCAGCGACGCUUAGGCGUUGUUGGGUAGGGGAGCGUUCUGUAAGCCGUUGAAGGUGACCUGUGAGGGUUGCUGGAGGUAUCAGAAGUGCGAAUGCUGACAUAAGUAACGAUAAUGCGGGUGAAAAACCCGCACGCCGGAAGACCAAGGGUUCCUGUCCAACGUUAAUCGGGGCAGGGUGAGUCGACCCCUAAGGCGAGGCUGAAAAGCGUAGUCGAUGGGAAACAGGUUAAUAUUCCUGUACUUGGUGUUACUGCGAAGGGGGGACGGAGAAGGCUAGGCUAGCCGGGCGACGGUUGUCCCGGUUUAAGCAUGUAGGCGGAGCGACUUGGUAAAUCCGGUUGCUUAUCAACGCUGAGGUGUGAUGACGAGCCACUACGGUGGUGAAGUAGUUGAUGCCAAGCUUCCAGGAAAAGCCUCUAAGCAUCAGGUAACAUUAAAUCGUACCCCAAACCGACACAGGUGGUCAGGUAGAGAAUACUCAGGCGCUUGAGAGAACUCGGGUGAAGGAACUAGGCAAAAUGGUGCCGUAACUUCGGGAGAAGGCACGCUGGCAUUAGGUAAUGGGACUUGCUCCCGGCGCCGAAGCCAGUCGCAGAUACCAGCUGGCUGCAACUGUUUAAUAAAAACACAGCACUGUGCAAACACGAAAGUGGACGUAUACGGUGUGACGCCUGCCCGGUGCUGGAAGGUUAAUUGAUGGGGUCAGCCGCAAGGCGAAGCUCUUGAUCGAAGCCCCAGUAAACGGCGGCCGUAACUAUAACGGUCCUAAGGUAGCGAAAUUCCUUGUCGGGUAAGUUCCGACCUGCACGAAUGGCGUAAUGAUGGCCAGGCUGUCUCCACCCGAGACUCAGUGAAAUUGAACUCGCUGUGAAGAUGCAGUGUACCCGCGGCAAGACGGAAAGACCCCGUGAACCUUUACUAUAGCUUGACACUGAACAUUGAGCCUUGAUGUGUAGGAUAGGUGGGAGGCAUCGAAGUGUGGACGCCAGUCUGCAUGGAGCCAACCUUGAAAUACCACCCUUUAAUGUUUGAUGUUCUAACUCGGCCCCAUAAUCUGGGGUGAGGACAGUGUCUGGUGGGUAGUUUGACUGGGGCGGUCUCCUCCCAAAGAGUAACGGAGGAGCACGAAGGUUAGCUAAUCACGGUCGGACAUCGUGAGGUUAGUGCAAAGGCAUAAGCUAGCUUGACUGCGAGAGUGACGGCUCGAGCAGGUACGAAAGUAGGUCUUAGUGAUCCGGUGGUUCUGAAUGGAAGGGCCAUCGCUCAACGGAUAAAAGGUACUCCGGGGAUAACAGGCUGAUACCGCCCAAGAGUUCAUAUCGACGGCGGUGUUUGGCACCUCGAUGUCGGCUCAUCACAUCCUGGGGCUGAAGUAGGUCCCAAGGGUAUGGCUGUUCGCCAUUUAAAGUGGUACGCGAGCUGGGUUUAGAACGUCGUGAGACAGUUCGGUCCCUAUCUGCCGUGGGCGUUGGAAGAUUGAGAGGGGCUGCUCCUAGUACGAGAGGACCGGAGUGGACGAAUCACUGGUGUUCGGGUUGUCAUGCCAAUGGCAUUGCCCGGUAGCUAAAUUCGGAAGAGAUAACCGCUGAAAGCAUCUAAGCGGGAAACUUGCCUCGAGAUGAGUCUUCCCUGGGGCUUUAAGCCCCCUGAAGGAACGUUAAAGACUAUGACGUUGAUAGGCUGGGUGUGUAAGUGCAGCGAUGCAUUGAGCUAACCAGUACUAAUGAUCCGUGAGGCUUAACCUU